AGAGAGAAAGAAAAAUUGAGAGCAUCACUAGAGGGCCAUUCGGCCACUACAAGAAAAAAAAAAAUUAUUGUGGAGCUCAAAUCUUUGGUUCAAAACUUAUCUCUUUUGAAUUCCUACUAAGCCCGGAACCCUCUUCAACGUGGUAUAAACUUUGAGGCAAGAAAGUACUUUUUUUACAAAGUGGAGAAUUUGGAAAAGAUCUUGGAGAGCCCGAGACUUGAUUCGGGAAUUGAUUAGCGAGCGAUCGAGGCUAAAAGGGCGACGAGGCGAAAAGGAUCCACGACUAAGUCACUGACAGGUACACCCAGGUGAGUAGAAGAUUUUGCUAGAAGGUAUUCCAGCGGGAUUGGCGAGCUCCAUCUCAGUUCGGAGUAUUGCCGAGUCGAGUACCUUUGUUAUGGUGUUUUGUAUGUGUUAGAGACUUUGCAGACAGUGUUCUGUGGAUAAGGCGUCGAGAAGUGCGAAUCAUUUAUAGAUGUUAAAAGAGUUUUCGUAAAGCGAAUGUUUAAGGGUUCGCUCGACUCUGAAGGGAGUCGGGUGCCCAUCAUGCCCUAUCAAGAUGAGGGUGUGACACUUUACAUACUCAGUACAUAUUUCGUACUGACCCCCUUUCUUCGGGGGCUGCGUUUCAUGCCCGCAGGUACGGACGUUUGUUCUGGUGACCCGCCAGUGUAGGAUACAUUCUGCUACUUUGGAGUGCUCCUUUGACUCGGAGCCCAUACUUUUGGUAAAGACCUUUCAUGGUAUAUGUCUCUGUAUAUAUGUAUGACUAUCUGGGGUACGGCGGGGCCCUGUCCCGUCAUAUGUUUUUGUUAUGUUUUGUAGAGGCCUGUAGUCAUAUAUGUGGGUCAUGUUUAUUCGUUGUGAUUAUGAUCUGCGUCUUAAUGCGGUCCCGUUUGCUAUUAUGACCAAAACGACCCAUUUGUCUGUAUAUGUGUGUGUAUCUAGGCGAUGUCUAUUCCGCCAGCGCGACCGCUUAAGACGAUAUUUGCUUCCAGUAUCUGCUUUAAUUAAUGUAUGUUAAGUUUGAUUAAGUCUUGGAUACGACGAUCCGGUAUGUAAGUCUGUUUGGGUGUCCAAGUAGGGCACCAGUCGCGGCCCACGGGGUUGGGUCGUGACAAUCAUAGUCUUUU